rnacentral:rRNA from 1 species
GACGAACGCUGGCGGCGUGCCUAAUACAUGCAAGUCGAGCGAAUCGAUGGGAGCUUGCUCCCUGAGAUUAGCGGCGGACGGGUGAGUAACACGUGGGUAACCUGCCUGUAAGACUGGGAUAACUUCGGGAAACCGGAGCUAAUACCGGAUACUUUCUUUUCUCGCAUGAGGGAAGAUGGAAAGAUGGUUUCGGCUAUCACUUACAGAUGGACCCGCGGCGCAUUAGCUAGUUGGUGAGGUAACGGCUCACCAAGGCAACGAUGCGUAGCCGACCUGAGAGGGUGAUCGGCCACACUGGGACUGAGACACGGCCCAGACUCCUACGGGAGGCAGCAGUAGGGAAUCUUCCGCAAUGGACGAAAGUCUGACGGAGCAACGCCGCGUGAGCGAAGAAGGCCUUCGGGUCGUAAAGCUCUGUUGUUAGGGAAGAACGAGUACGAGAGUAACUGCUCGUACCCUGACGGUACCUAACCAGAAAGCCACGGCUAACUACGUGCCAGCCGCCGCGGUAAUAC